rnacentral:tRNA from 1 species
UCUUCGGUAGUAAAGUGGUCAGUAUCCCCGCCUGUCACGCGGGAGACCGGGGUUCGAUUCCCCGCCGGAGAG